CCAGCGAACUUGGCAGAGAUGCCUUGGUGCCUUCGGGAACGCUGAGACAGGUGCUGCAUGGCUGUCGUCAGCUCGUGUUGUGAAGUGUUGGGUUAAGUCCCGCAACGAGCGCAACCCUUAUCCUUUGUUGCCAGCGAUUCGGUCGGGAACUCAAAGGAGACUGCCGGUGAUAAACCGGAGGAAGGUGGGGAUGACGUCAAGCCAUCAUGGCCCUUACGAGUAGGGCUACACACGUGCUACAAUGGCGCAUACAAAGAGAAGCGACCUCGCGAGAGCAAGCGGACCUCAUAAAGUGCGUCGUAGUCCGGAUCGGAGUCUGCAACUCGACUCCGUGAAGUCGGAAUCGCUAGUAAUCGUGGAUCAGAAUGCCACGGUGAAUACGCUCCCGGGCCUUGUACACACCGCCCGUCACACCAUGGGAGUGGGUUGCAAAAGAAGUAGGUAGCUUAACCUCCGGGAGGGCGCUUACCACUUUGUGAUUCAUGACUGGGGUGAAGUCGUAACAAGGUAAGCGUAGCGAG
rnacentral:rRNA from 1 species